rnacentral:lncRNA from 1 species
GACGUUCCGCGAUGCAGUGAGGACGCUAUUGAGCAUGAGACUGAUGUUGUUUGAUGAGUGCGAGGUGUCAGCCGUUCAUGAGCGCCUAGUGGCCAAUGAGGCGAGGCAGAGAGACGAGGCGGGUUGGAGAAGGGAGCCGUGGAAGGCGAGAUGAGGCCGCGACGGCUGAGAAGCAAGCGGUGGAGGUGGCGGGUCGCACCGGCGAAGUGGCCGCGUGAGGUUCGACCGGAGUUGACGCGAGGCCCUGCCAUGGCGUGGGCGGCUCGGACACUCGAUAAUGGAGCGAAGUGAGGCGACGCGAGCAGUGGGGCGAGGGAGCGGCCAGGCAAAGGGAGCGCGCGAGAGUGACUCGGCCAGUGCGGCGAGGGAGCGGCCCAGACCAGCGGGCGUGCGGGAGCGAG